CACAAUGCCGCUUAUGAGCUGCCCUUUUCCUCUUCAGAUACUUUCAUGACAUGAAUGAAUGUGAUGAAUGAUCGUGGAAAAAUACACCCGAAGCUGUUCUGUCUGAUUCUGCAGUUGGCCCCACAACUGGAAAGAAGAAUGGCGGUCCUUUACAUCUUUUACUUCUAAGACUUUUUGUUUCCUGACUGAAUAAAAUCAUGGAGGGUACAACUAAUUUCGCUGCAGUUUGAGGUGGUUAUUUGUCACUAUUUGUGGUGUGAGGGAUUGAUUUUCUCCCUCCCAUUGCAUU